rnacentral:rRNA from 1 species
CCUACGGGAGGCUGCAGUGGGGAAUAUUGGACAAUGGGCGAAAGCCUGAUCCAGCCAUGCCGCGUGUGUGAAGAUGGCCUUCGGGUUGUAAAGCACUUUCAGUGGGGAAGAAAGCCUUGGGGCUAAUACCCUCGAGGAAGGACAUCACCCACAGAAGAAGCACCGGCUAACUCCGUGCCAGCAGCCGCGGUAAUACGGAGGGUGCGAGCGUUAAUCGGAAUUACUGGGCGUAAAGCGCGCGUAGGCGGUCUGAUAAGCCGGUUGUGAAAGCCCCGGGCUCAACCUGGGAACGGCAUCCGGAACUGUCAGGCUAGAGUGCAGGAGAGGAAGGUAGAAUUCCCGGUGUAGCGGUGAAAUGCGUAGAGAUCGGGAGGAAUACCAGUGGCGAAGGCGGCCUUCUGGACUGACACUGACGCUGAGGUGCGAAAGCGUGGGUAGCAAACAGGAUUAGAUACCCCUGUAGUC